AUCAAUAAAGUUUUAUUUUUUAUUUCUUCAUACUUCCAAAAUAAAGCCCAUGAAUUAUAACUUAAAGUUACUGACAACAAGAAUUAAAAUAAACUCCAAAAACCCUCAUAGGAAAAAAAAUAAUUAUUUACGGGAAAAAAAACUGAGAAGGGGAUAAACAUUCUUAACAUGAGUUUGUUAAUAAUAAUAAUGAUGAUAGUAAUAACUUUUUAAUUAAAAUCAAAGAUUGAAAUCAAAAGGAAAACCUAAUUCCCAAAUCUUUUUCAUAGUGACCUUUGUUCCUCCCUCCCUCAUCUUCUUCGAGUGAUUUCAGCCCCCUUUUCCUCCAUUGAAUUUGUUGUCGUGCCUUCCUUCGUCAUCCUUUUAAUCGUCCGUCUCCAUGUUUUCUCCCCCAUCCAUCUCUUAGUACGUAGCCUUUUCUCCCCCUUUGUCAUGUCAAAUUCUAACCAUUCUCAGUACUAUGCAUCAAGCCAUUAUUUUGUGUAUAAAAUAGUUGUUUUUGUAGGCUUGAUUCACCAUUAUAUAUAAAUUCCUACGAUAUGAUUUCAGUUUUUUACGUUUGACAUUUUGCGAAAGUGAUGAAAUCAAACACGAAUUUGCGUAACGGAGCAAUUCGGAUAUAGGUUCGCAAGGAACCCGGUGCUCGUGAAGAUGAAAAAAACAGGUGGUUAAUGAGCAUGGAGAUUAAAAUUGAGAUUGGGGUGUUUAUGGUUAUGAAAAGGUUGAUGUUGUUUCUAAUUGUGAUGAAGAAAUUUUUUGGGUUUUAUAUGAACAAUGUUGAAGGUGAUGAAGAUGAAGAGGAAUAGCAGGGAAGGAGAAGAAGAGAAGAAGAAACAAAAAAAAUCAGAUAUAGAUGGUUCCCUUUAACAUUCUAUGAACCUGCAAUCAAACGAUUAUAAUAAUAUUAAAAUUGUUAGACAUCAAAAAACUAACUGCGAGGAGCAGAUAGAUAACGGCAGAAGACUUAAGGGAUCCGUUUAAGACAUUUUAUAGUUAGGGGAUCAAAGUGAAAACGAAAAAUAAAUUAAAGGACCAAAUGAUGUAUUAAGUCUAUCUUUUACUAUGAGUUCUU
rnacentral:lncRNA from 1 species